rnacentral:lncRNA from 1 species
AUGAUGCUGCUGAGUCGGUCGGCUGAUUGGACAGAGCUGCACGGCUUCAGAGGCUGGACACGCCCCCACGCAUCUCAUCCUCCCAGUCCCCCCACCCCUCACCCCCCACCCCUCACCCCUCACCUCACCCCCUCACCUCACCCCACCCCUCACCUCACCCCCUCACCCCCAACCCUUCACCCCCACCUCACCCCCUCACCCCCUCACCUCACCCCCUCAACCCCCAACCCCUUCACCCCCCCACCCCCCCCACCCCCUCACCCCCUCACCCCUCACCCCCUCACCUCACCCCCACCCCCUCACCUCUCACCUCACCCCCUCACCUCUCACCUCACCCCACCCCUCACCCCCCUCACCCCCAACCCUUCACCCCCCACCUCACCCCCCUCACCCCCUCACCUCACCCCCUCACCCCCUCACCCCCAACCCUUCACCCCCCACCUCACCCCUCACCUCACCCCCUCAACCCCCAACCCUUCACCCCCACCUCACCCCCUCACCUCUCACCUCACCCCCAACCCCCUUCACCCCCCACCUCACCCCCUCACCCCUCACCUCACCCCCCUCACCUCUCACCUCACCCCCUCACCCCCACCCUUCACCCCCCCACCUCACCCCCUCACCCCUCACCCCCUCACCUCACCCCCUCACCUCACCCACCUCUCACCCCCUCACCCCCUCACCCCCUCACCCCCCUCACCCCCUCACCCCCUCACCCCCUCACCUCACCCCCUCACCCCCUCUCACCUCACCCCCCUCACCUCUCACCUCACCCCCUCACCUCUCACCUCACCCCACCUCACCCCUCACCCCUCACCUCACCCCUCACCCCCUCACCCCCUCACCCCCUCACCCCCUCACCCCCACCCCUCACCCCCUCACCCCCUCACCCCUCACCCCCUCACCCCCCUCACCCCCUCACCCCCACCUCACCCCCUCACCCUCACCCCCUCACCCCCUCACCCCCUCACCCCUCACCCUCACCCCCUCACCCCUCACCCCUCACCCCUCACCCCUCACCCCUCACCCCUCACCCCCCACCCCUCACCCCUCACCCCUCACCUCACCCCUCACCCCUCACCUCACCCCUCACCCCCUCACCCCCUCACCUCACCCCCUCACCCCCUCACCCCUCACCUACUCACCCCUCACCCCCUCACCCCUCACCUCAACUCACCCCUCACCCCUCACCCCCUCACCCCCUCACCCCCUCACCCCCUCACCCCUCACCCCUCACCUCACCUCACCCCUCACCUCACCCACCUCUCACUUCACCCACCUCUCACCUCAACAUCUCACCUCACCUCACCCCUCACCUCACCCCCUCACCCCCUCACCCCCUCACCCCCUCACCCCCUCACCUCUCACCUCCCACCACCAGCGCGAGUGUCUAUGUUUUCAGUUUCAGUUUCAUUGCACCUCAGUGUGGAAACUCAGGGCGGAGUCACAGCGAAUGAUCAGCUUGCGUUUGGCCCAAUGAGAACUUUACAAAGGCUUUUUGCAAAUUAA